GAGAUAACUCCUACGGGAGGCAGCAGUGGGGAAUCUUGCGCAAUGGGCGAAAGCCUGACGCAGCCAUGCCGCGUGAAUGAUGAAGGUCUUAGGAUCGUAAAAUUCUUUCACCGGGGACGAUAAUGACGGUACCCGGAGAAGAAGCCCCGGCUAACUUCGUGCCAGCAGCCGCGGUAAUACGAAGGGGGCUAGCGUUGCUCGGAAUUACUGGGCGUAAAGGGCGCGUAGGCGGAUCGUUAAGUCAGAGGUGAAAUCCCAGGGCUCAACCCUGGAACUGCCUUUGAUACUGGCGAUCUUGAGUAUGAGGAGGGUAUGUGGAACCCCGAGUGUAGAGGUGAAAUACGUAGAUAUUCGGAAGAACACCAGUGGCGAAGGCGACAUACUGGCUCAUUACUGACGCUGAGGCGCGAAAGCGUGGGGAGCAAACAGGAUUAGAAACCCUAGUAGUCCUCCACU
rnacentral:rRNA from 1 species